rnacentral:rRNA from 1 species
UACGAAGGGAGCUAGCGUUGUUCGGAAUCACUGGGCGUAAAGCGCACGUAGGCGGAUGUGUCAGUCAGGGGUGAAAUCCCGGGGCUCAACCCCGGAACUGCCUUUGAUACUGGCAUUCUCGAGUCCGGAAGAGGCGAGUGGAAUUCCUGGUGUAGCGGUGAAAUGCGCAGAUAUCAGGAGGAACACCAAUGGCGAAGGCAGCUCGCUGGGACGGUACUGACGCUGAGACGCGAAAGCGUGGGGAGCAAACAGG